rnacentral:rRNA from 1 species
AUUGAACGCUGGCGGCAUGCCUUACACAUGCAAGUCGAACGGCAGCACGGGUGCUUGCACCUGGUGGCGAGUGGCGAACGGGUGAGUAAUACAUCGGAACGUACCUUAUCGUGGGGGAUAACGCAGCGAAAGCUGUGCUAAUACCGCAUCCGCCCUGAGGGGGAAAGCGGGGGAUCGCAAGACCUCGCGCGAUUAGAGCGGCCGAUGCCUGAUUAGCUUGUUGGUGGGGUAAAAGCCCACCAAGGCGAAGAUCAGUAGCUGGUCUGAGAGGACGCUCAGCCAAACUGGGACUGAGACACGGCCCAGACACCUACGGGAGGCAGCAGUGGAGAAUUGUGGACAAUGGGGGCAACCCUGAUCCAGCAAUGCCGCGUGAGUGAAGAAGGCCUUCGGGUUGUAAAGCUCCUUUGUCAGGGAAGAAACACCGGCUCUAACACAGUCCGGGAAUGACGGUACCUGAAGAAUAAGCACCGGCUAACUACGUGCCAGCCGCCGCCGUAA